GGGGAAUUUUGGACAAUGGGCGCAAGCCUGAUCCAGCAAUGCCGCGUGCAUGAUGAAGGCCUUCGGGUUGUAAACUGCUUUUGUACGGAACGAAAAAGCUCUCUCUAAUACAGGGGGUGAAUGACGGUACCGUAAGAAUAAGCACCGGCUAACUACGUGCCAGCAGCCGCGGUAAUACGUAGGGUGCGAGCGUUAAUCGGAAUUACUGGGCGUAAAGCGUGCGCAGGCGGUUUUGUAAGACAGAGGUGAAUUCCCCGGGCUCGACCUGGGAACUGCCUUUGUGACUGCAAGGCUGGAGUGCGGCAGAGGGGGAUGGAAUUCCGCGUGUAGCAGUGAAAUGCGUAGAUAUGCGGAGGAACACCGAUGGCGAAGGCAAUCCCCUGGGCCUGCACUGACGCUCAUGCACGAAAGCGUGGGGAGCAAACA
rnacentral:rRNA from 1 species